rnacentral:misc_RNA from 1 species
GAUGAAGAACGUAGCGAAAUGCGAUACUUGGUGUGAAUUGCAGAAUCCCGUGAACCAUCGAGUCUUUGAACGCAAGUUGCGCCCGAAGCCAUUAGGCCGAGGGCACGCCUGCCUGGGCGUCACACGUCGUUGCCCCCCCAUCUACUCCUUCGGGAUUGCGGGGGGCGGAUGAUGGCCUCCCGUGCGCCUCGCCGCGCGGUUGGCAUAAAUGCCAAGUCCUCGGCGACGCACGCCACGACAAUCGGUGGUUGCGAAACCUCGGUUGCCCGUCGUGUGCGGUCGUCGCGCAUCGAGGGCUCGAAAAAAUUGCUGGGUUCCGGCUCGGCUUUCAACGCGACCCCAGGUCAGGCGGGGUUACCCGCUGAAUUUAAGCAUAUCAAUAAGCGGAGGA